AGACGUCGAAGAAAUUUCUGAUUUUUUCGUUACUGCUUAGGAUUCAUCAGGUAAAGUUGUGAUUAUGUUAUCUUUACUGAUACUGAUCUAGAAAUCAUUAGUAUUCUUCUAACAUUGUGACAUUAUUUGCUAGGAAAUAUUAACCAACCAUAGAAAUUUCCGAUGUGCAUUUUUUAAUUAUGCUAAUUAAGCAUAGGGGAAAAUUAAUAUAGUCGUAAAUUCUUAUUAAGCUGCAGGGAAUAUCUGUUUAGCUUUGUUAUCUUCUGAAUGUUAAAAUUUGCAUUUCAAUACAUGCUUCAUUGUUACGAGAGGUCUUGUUUAUGGAAAAAUUUGAUACAGGUAUAUUCAUAUUAGUAUAUUUGUAUAGAAUUCUAAUAAUAUUUGAAUAUUUUCUCAACUAAAAUUAGACAACACUCGGGAAAAUCUGUGGUGUACUUGAAGUUAGCUUUGGCAUAAAACAAGUAUCAUGACCAGGUAAAAAGAUUCCUAUUCUCUUUUGUAACGACCCGAUCGGUUAUUUUGAGAUUAGUAGCCUCGAUCCCCUAUUAAAUUCUUCCCCCGUAUCUUUUUCUGCUUAUGCGACUUGUCGGGAGGUUUUGCUUUUGGUUUCGGAGUAUUUUGGGAUAGUUAGUCCCUAAACGAAAGCUUAAGCCUUGGGAUUUUGACUGUAGUUAGAACAGUGUGAAGACGACUCUGGAAUAGAGUUCCGUCUGUUCCAUUAGCUCCGUUGGGUAGUUUUGGACAUAGGAGGUUGUGCGGACUGUGAAUAUGAGGUCUGUAGCUGAUUUAAGCUUGAAAUGGUGAAAGUCAAAUUUUUAGAGAUUUUGAUCAGUAGUGGACUUUUUGAUAUCAGGGAUGGAUUCUGAUUUCAUAAGUUGAAGUAGGCCUGUAAUGUUGAAUAUGACUUGUGUGCAAAAUUUGAGGUCAAUCAGAUGUGGUUUGAUAGGUUUCGGCAUCGGUUGUAGAAAUUUGAAGUUUCAAGUUUAUUAAGUUUGGAUUGGUGGGUGAUUCGUAUUUUUGUUGUUAUUUGACGUGUUUUGAGCGAUCGACUAAGUUCGUAUGGUAUUUUAGGACUGGUAGGUAUGUUUGGUUGAGGUCUCAGGGGGGAGGGGGGAGUUGAUUUCGGGUGGUUAACGGAUCAUUUUUGGACUUAUGCAAAUUUCUGAAGUUGCUGGUUUCUGGUGUUUUCGCACCUGCGGUGGGGUGACCGCAGGUGCGGACUCGCACGUGUGAGAGGAAAAUCUUAGAUGCGGGCUGGAGGAGUUUGGCCUAGGUCGCAGGUGCGACAUGAAGGCCGCAGGAGCGGAGUUGCUUCUAUGGAAGCUUGAACGCAGAAGUGGAGAGGCCGGGGAGGUUUGGGAUCGUAGGAGCGGAAGGGUAUCCGCAGAAGCGAGAUCGCAGGUGCGAUCCCUGGUCUGCAAAAGAGAAAAUGCUGGCCAUGAGUAGAAUCUGCACCUGCGAUGGUUUUGUCGAAGGUGCGACUAGAGGUCCGCAGGUGCAAAAUAUCUGGACAGAACACUUAAAUGCAAGGGUUCGCGAUGUUUGCUCAUUUUUUACAUUUUGAUCUUGGGUUUGGCGAUUUCCUGAGAGCAUUUUCGAGGGAUUGCUUGAGGUAAGUCCCUUGUGCUUAUUUUUUAUCAAUAAUUUUACUUUCCCAUUUAUAUCUCCACCUAGUUAGUAUGUAUUUAAGGUGAAAUUUGGGGGUUUGAGGCUAGGGAUUUGAAGAGUUUGACUUUGGGUUUUGAGUGGCAUUCGAGGUCGGAUUUUGAUAAAUUUGAUAUGGUCGGAUGCGUGAGUGAAUGGGCUUUUGGAUUUUAUAAUUUUUACCCGAUUUUGAGAUGUGGGCCCGGGUUGACCUUUUAGGACGAAUUUCAGAAUUUUUGUUAAAGUGUUGAUUUCAUUAAUUAGAUUAGUGUAUUAUAGUUAUAUUUAUUAUAUGUAAUUAUUUUUGGCUAGACUUGGACAUUAAGAGUCGGAUAUUCUUGAAAAAUGCAUUGUUACCGAUUGAUUGAGUUUGGUUCGAGGUAAGUGGCUUGCCUAACCUUGUGUGGGAGAAAUCCCCUUAGGAUUUGGUACUGUCGUGAUAUGUGAGCGCCGUGUACGUGAGGUGACGAGUACGUACAUGGGAUAUUUGAUGAAAAACCCGAUUUAUUUUACUGAGUAGCAACCUGUUGUUUUCCUUUAGUUUAAGUUAUACCAUUUAAAUGAGUAUUAAUCUGUUUUUAUUCUUGAUUAAGCUCUUCGAACAUGCAUAGUUAUACUUUUUAGUCUAAUAUCGCAUGUCUACAUUCUUUAACUGCUUAUUUGAACUCUAUGAAGCAUGCCUAGUUAAUUUCAUGCGUUUCCUUGUUCUUUAUCAGUAUUAACUGUAGAAUUCUUGCUGUUAACUAUGGUAUUUAUCGGUUGAGCUGUGUGUUUACUUUUGAGACUACGAGGCGGUUCAUCGGGAGUUAUCCCUGCAUAUUUACUUUUGAGACUACGAGGCGGUUCCUCUGGAGUUCUCGCUACAAAUUUACUUUUGAGACUACGAGGCGGUUCCUCGGGAGUUCUCCCUGCAUAUUUACUUCUAAGACUACGAGGCGGUUCCUCGGGAGUUCGCCUUGCUAUUAUUUACUUUUGAGACUACGAGGCAGUUCCUCGNNNNNNNNNNNNNNNNNNNNNNNNNCCUGCACAUUUACUUUUGAGACUACGAGGCGGUUCCUCAGGAGUACUUCCUGCACAUUUACUUUUGAGACUACGAGGCGGUUCCUCGGGAGUUCACCCUGUAUAUUUACUUUUCAGACUACGAGGCGGUACCUCGGGAGUUUUCCCUGCACAUAUACUUUUGAGACUACGAGGCGGUUUCUCGGGAUUUAUCCCUUUAUAUUUACUUUUGAGACUACAAGGCAGUACCUCAAGAGUUCUCCCUGCAUAUGUUUUUUGGGACUACGAGACGGUAUCUCGGGAGAUCCCCUAAUGUCUAUCCCUGUGUGUUGCAUUGUUAUAUCACUGUGUUUUCUUUUCUUUUUUUGUUAAAUUCGAGUCUCUUAUUAUACUGUUAUAUUUUCCUUUUUUAUUUAUUAUAUACGAGUGGACCUGACCUGACCUUGUCACUACUCUACCGAUGAUAGGCUUGGCACUUACUGGAUAUCGUUGUGGUGUACUCAUGCUACUCUUCUGCACAUGUUUUUGUGUGCAGAUCUGGUACUUCUUAUCAGCCUCGCUACUAGCUCAGAGUGCUUGUUGUUGUACGGAGACUUUAAGGUACAUCUGCCACGUCCGCAGACCUCGGAGUCCCCCUCUAUUCUCUCUUAUGUCAUUUACAUUCCGUACUUCUUUUGUUAGACUCUGGUGUAUAAAGAUACUAGUUCCCUUCUGUAGCUUGUGACUUAUGAUGUUCCGGGUUUUGGGAAGAUGAUGUAUUUAUAGAGUAUUGGUUAUUAUACAUACCGAGCGGCAUUGUUACUAGUUAUUCAGUUAUCCAAUGCCGUUAGUUGCCAAGUUUUAUUUCUACUUUGUUAUUUUCCACAAUUUUCUAGGGUUACCUAGUCUUAGAGAUUAGGUGCCAUCACGACGUUACAUAUAGAGAGUUUGGGGUCAUGACAAGUUGAUAUCAGAGCUCUAGGUUCGUAGGUGUCGUGAGUCACAAGACGGUUUAUUAGAGUCUCGCGGAUUGGUACGGAGACGUCUAUACUAAUCUUCGGGAGGCUAUGAAAUUGUUAGGAAUAAUUAUACUUCUUUGAUUCAUUGUCGUGCGAAAUUUGCUGACAUCAAAUAUUCUAAACUUCUGUAUUUUAUUCUCUCACAAAUGUGAGGACACGUACAGGCGGAUCUGACGACCAGGAACCCGCGCCCCCUGCUAGAGCCGCGAGAGGCCAGGGCCGAGGUAGAGGCCGAGGACGUCUAUGCGGUGCAGCUAGAGCACCCGCAUGAGCUGCUACAGAAGAGCCCCUAGUAGAUCCAGCUGGAGGGCAGGCACCUGAGGUGCCUAUUGCUGCACCAGCUCUCCAGGAGACUCUAGCCCAGUUUCUGAGCAUGUUAACUACCUUAGCUCAGGCUCGAUUGAUUCCACUUGCUCCUACCGCAUCUUAGGCCGGGGGAGGAGCACAGACUACCAUCACCGGUACUCCAGAUAAGCGGGCUCAGGUCGAUCAGGACCCAGAGUUCAUCCCUAUGUAGCCGGUAGCUCUGGUUCAACACGAGACUAGGACAACCGCUUCUGAGGUGGAGCAACUCAUACUUGAGCGGUACAAGAAUUACCACCCACCUACCUUCAGCAGAUUGGCUACAGAUGAUGCUAAGGGUUUUUUGGAGGAGUGUCAUCGUAUUCUCCAUAAUAUAGGCAUAGAGGAGACGAGUGGGGCUUCUUUUACCACCUUCUAGCUUAGAGGAGCAGCUUAUCAGUGGUGGCGUGCUUAUGAGUUGAGUAGUCCGGAUGAGGCAACUUCACUUACAUGGACUCAGUUCUCGGAUAUGUUUUUGAGAGAGUAUGUCCCUCAGAGCCUCAGGGACGCACGACACGCGAAGUUUGAGCAGCUGCGCCAGUGUGCAAUGACUGUGUUAGAGUAUGCAGUUCGUUUCAGUGAUUUGGCCUGACAUGCACUGGCCUUGGUUUCCACAGUUCGAGAGAGGGUUCGUCGGUUUAUUGAGGGACUCCACCCCAGUAUACGGAUUCAUAUGGCCAGGGAGUUGGAGAUAUAUAUUUCUUAUCAGCAUGUUGUGAGUAUUAUCAGGAGAUUAGAGGGCAUGCUUGCCCGGGAUAGAGAGGAGAGGGAGGUGAAGAGGUCUCGAGAGUCUGGCACUUACAGCGGUACUCGUGCCCUAGCGGCAGUUCGACAUGGUAGGGAUUAUGUGUGUCGCCCUAUUCAUUCAGCUCUUCCUGCCACUAGUGGUGUUCCAUCUCGUGCUAGGACCCAGGAGCUUUAUUAUGCACUGCCGGUAUCUAGUGUGCCUCCUCCCCGGGGUGCUAUUAUCGGCCAGUCCAGCAGAUCUGGCCCGAGUCAGUCACAAUAGCCACGCCCUCCGAGGUAUUUUUUUGAGUGUGGCGGCACUCGCCAUUUGGUGAGGGAUUGCCCCAUACUUAGGAGAGGUGCACCUCCGCAGAUUUCUCAGCCACCGCGCGUUCCACCGGGUCCUCAGGCUAUGAUUCCAGCACCAACUAGUGCCCCACCUACUGAGCCGGCUCAAGGUGGAGGCCGAGGUCUCCCUAGAGGGUGAGGCCAUGCCAGAUAUUAUGCUCUUUCGGCUCAUGCAGAGGCAGUUGCUUCUGACUCUGUUAUUACAGGUGUUGUUCCAGUCUGUCAUAGAGAUGCGUCGGUAUUAUUUGACCUAGGUUCUACAUAUUCCUAUGUGUCCUCUUAUUUUGCCCCGUAUUUGGGAAUAUCUCGGGAUUCUUUGAGUUCCCCUAUUUAUGUGUCUACUCAUGUGGGAGAUUCUCUUGUUGUGGACCCCGUGUAUCGGUUGUGUUUGAUUUCUCUUUGUGGUUUUGAGACCAGAGCCGAUUUAUUAUUACUCAGCAUGGUAGACUUUGAUGUUAUCUUGGGCAUGGACUGGUUGUCGCCCCAUUAUGCUAUUCUUGAUUGUCACGCUAAGACCGUGAUGCUGGCUAUGUCAGGUUUACCGCGAUUUGAGUGGAGAGGUACCUUAGAGUAUACUCCCAGCAGAGUUACUUCAUUUCUUAAAGCUCAGCGAAUGGUUGAGAGGGGGUGUGACGAUUAUCUAGCUUAUGUGAGAGAUGUCAGUAUUGAUACCCCUAUAGUUGAGUUAGUUCUAAUAGUGAGGGACUUUCUAGAUGUGUUUCCAGCUGAUCUUCCGGGCAUGCCGCACGAUAGAGUUAUUAAUUUUGGCACUGAUUUGUUGCCGAGCACUCAGUCCAUCUCUAUUCCUUCGUAUCACAUGGCUCCUCAUGAGUUGAAGGAGUUGAAGGAGCAGUUAAUGGAGUUGCUUGAUAAGGGCUUCACUCGGCAUAACGUGUCACCUUGGGGUGCUCCUGUCUUGUUUGUGAAGAAGAAGAAUGGUUCUAUGCAUUUGUGCAUUGAUUAUCACCAGCUGAACAAAGUUACAGUGAAGAACAUGUAUCCAUUUCCUCGUAUUGAUGACUUAUUUGACCAGUUAUAGGGUGCUAGAGUGUUUUCAAAGAUUGAAUUACAUUUCGGCUAUCAUCAGUUGAAGAUUUGGGAGCCAGAUAUCCCGAAGAUUGCUUUCAGGACUCAGUAUGGUCACUACGAGUUCCUUGUGAUGUCAUUUGUGCUGACCAAUGCCCCAACAGCUUUUAUGCACUUGAUGCACCAUAUUUUCCGGCCCUAUCUUGACUCAUUCGUCAUUGUGUUUAUUGACGACAUUCUGAUGUACUCCCGGACUUGGGAGGAUCAUGAGCAGCACCUAAUGACUGUGCUUCAGACCCUGAGAGAAAAGAGGUUAUAUGCAAAAUUUUCAAAGUGUGAGUUUUGGCUAGACUCAGUGGCAUUCUUGGGUUAUGUAGUCUCGAGUGAUGGGAUCCAGGUGGAUCCGAAUAAGGUGGAAGCAGUGCAGAGUUGGCCUAGACUAUCAUCAGCUACGGAGAUCCAGAGUUUUCUUGGUUUGGCAGGGUAUUACCAUCAUUUUGUAGGGGGAUUUUCAUCUAUUGCAGCACCUAUGACCAGGUUGACCCAGAAGGGUGCUCCGUUCAGGUGGACACAAGAGUGUGAGGAGAGCUUUCAGAAGCUCAAGACAGCAUUGACUACAACUCUAGUAUUGCUGUUGCCUAUAGGUUCGGGGUCUUAUACUGUAUAUUAUGAUACAUCGCGGAUUGGUCUCGGUGCGGUGUUGAUGCAGGACAGUAAGGUGAUUGCCUACACAUCCAGACAACUAAAGGUGCAUGAAAAGAACUAUCAUGUCCAUGACCUUGAGUUAGCAGCUAUUAUUCAUGCCUUGAAGAUAUGGCGUCACUAUUUGUACGGUGUUCAUUUUGAGAUCUACACCGAUCACCGAAGUUUGCAGCAUCUGUUCAAGCAGAAGGAUCUUAAUUUGUGUUAGAGGAGGUGCUUAGAGCUGCUUAAGGAUUAUGAUAUCACCAUUUUGUACCACCCUGGGAAGGCCAAUGUGGUGGCCGAUUCUUUGAGUCGUCGGGCAAAGAGUUUGGAGAGCUUAGCAUAUCUACCAGCAACAGAGAGGCCCAUGGUGUUGGAUGUUCAGGCCUUAGCCAGCCAGUUUGUGAGAUUGGAUAUUUCUGAGUCGAGUCGAGUAUUGGCUUGUGUGGUCUCUCGGUCUUCUCUUUGGGAUCGUAUCAGGGAGCGUCAGUGUGAUGACCCACAUAUGUUUGUCCUUAUGGACACGGUCCGGCACGGUGAUGCUAAAGAGGUCACUAUUAGGGAUGAUGGUGCAUUGAGGAUAUAGGCUAGACUAUGUGUGCCUAAUAUGGAUGAUUUGCAUGAGUUGAUUCUCCAGGAAGCUCACAGUUCACGGUACUUCAUUCAUCCGGGUGCCGCGAAGUUGUAUCAGGACUUGAGGCAGCAUUACUGGUGGAGGAGGAUGAAGAAGGACAUAUUGGAGUUUGUAAAUCGGUGUCUAAAUUACCAGCAAGUUAGGUAUGAGCAUCAGCGGCCAGGUGGAUUGCUUCAGAAGAUAGAGAUUCCAGAGUGGACAUGGGAGCGAAUCACUAUGGAUUUCGUUGUUGGACUCCCAAGGACUUAACGAAAGUUUGACGUAGUUUGGGUGAUUAGGAUAGGCUGACCAAGUCAGCUCAUUUCAUUCCUGUGAUGACUACCUAUUCAUCCGAGCAGUUGGCUCGAAUUUAUAUUUGUGAGAUUGUCAGGCUUCAUGGCGUAUCAGUAUCUUUCAUCUCUGACCGGGGUACGCAGUUUACAUCAUGGUUCUGGACGGCUGUACAAUAGGAGUUGGGUACUUAGUUUGAGCUGAGCACAUCAUUUCACUCUCAUAUGUACGGACAAUCUGAGCGCACUCUUCAGAUACUGGAGGAUAUGCUAUAUGCAUGUGUGAUAGAUUUUGGAGGUUCUUGGGAUCAGUAUGAGGCUCUAUAUGGUUGGCGGUAUCGGUAUCCAGUGGGUUGGUUCGAGCCGAGCGAGGCUAGAUUAUUGUGUACAAACUUGGUUCAGGAUGCCCUGGAUAAGGUGAAGGAGAUUCUGGACCGACUUCGCACAACCCAGUCCAGAUAGAAGAGUUAUGCGGAUAGGAAGGCUCACGAUGUUGCAUUCAUGGUUGGAGAGCGAGUCUUGCUCCGAGUUAUGCCUAUGAAGGGCGUUAUGAGGUUCGGGAAGAAGGGCAAGCUGAGCCCAAGGUUCAUUGGUCCAUUUGAGGUGUUGCGGCGAGUUGGAGAUGUUGCUUAUGAGCUUGCCUUACCUCCCAGUCUAGCAGGAGUUCAUCCUUUAUUCCAUAUUUCUAUGCUCCGGAAGUAUCACGGUGAUCCGUCUCAUGUGCUAGAUUUCAGCUCAGUCCAGUUGAAUAAGGAUCUAUCUUAUGUUGAGGAGCCAGUGGCUAUUUUGGAUAGGCAGGUUCAAAAGCUGAGGUCGAAGAACAUUGCUUCCGUGAAGGUUCAGUGGAGGGGUCAGCCGGUCGAGGAGGCGACUUGGGAGAUCGAGCAAGAUAUGCAUAGUCGUUAUCCUUAUUUUUUCACCACUUCAGGUAUAUCUUUAUGCUCGUUCAAGGACGAAAUAUUGUUUUAGAAAGGGGAGGAUGUAAUGACUUGUCUGGUCGUUUUGACAGUAAUAGCCCCGAUCCCCUAUUAACUACUUCCCCCGUAUCCUUUUCUGCUUAUGUGACUUGUCAGGAGGUUUUGUUUUUGGUUUCGGAGUGUUUUGGGAUACUUAGUCCCUAAACAGAAGCUUAAGCCUUAGGAUUUUGACUGUAGUCGGAACAGUGUUAAGACGACUCUGGAAUGGAGUUCUGUCGAUUCCGUUAGAUCCGUUGGGUGAUUUUGGACUUAGGAGCGUGCCCGGACUGUGAAUUUGAGGUUUGUAGCUGAUUUAGGCUUGACCGGUAGUGGACUUUUUGAUAUCAGGGUCGGAUUCUGAUUCUGGAAGUUGGAGUAGGUCCGUAAUGUUUAAUAUGACUUGUGUGCAAAAUUUGAAGUCAAUCAAACAUGGUUUGAUACGUUUCGGCAUCGGUUGUAGAAAUUUGAAGUUUCAAGUUCAUUAAGUUUGGAUUGGAGGGUUAUUCGUGUUUUUGUUAUUGUUUGACGUGUUUUGAGGUCUCGACUAAGUUUGUAUUGUGUUUUAGGACUGGUAGGUAUCUUUGGUUGAGGUCCGGGGGAGGGGGGGCUCGGGUUGAUUUCGGGUGGUUAAUGGAUCAUUUUUGGACUUAUGGAUAUUUCUGAAGUUGCUGGUUUCUGCUGUUUUCGCACCUGUGGUGGGAUGAACGCAGGUGUGGACUCGCACGUGUGAGAGGAGGAUUGCAGAGCGGGCUAGAGGAGUUAAGCCGGGGUCGCAGGUGCGACAUGAAGGCCGCAGGAGCGGAGUCGCUUUUGCGAAAGGUUGAACGCAUAAGCUGAGAUGCUUAGGAGGUUUGGGAUCGCAAGAGCGGAAGGGUCUCCGCAGAAGCGAGAUCGCAGGUGCAAACCCUGGUCCGCAGAAGCGGAACCCCUGGCCAUGAGUGGAAUCCGCACCUGCGAUGGUUCUGCCGCAGGUGCGAAAUUUCUGGACAGAACACUUAAAUGCAAGGGUUCACGAUUUUUGCUCAUUUUUGACAUUUUAAGCUCGGGUUUGGCGAUUUCGUGAGAGCAUUUUCGAGGGAUUGCUUGAGGUAAGUCCCUUGUGCUUAUUUUUUAUCAAUAAUCUUGCUUUCCUAUUUAUGUUUCCACCUAGUUAGUGUGUAUUUAAGGUAGAAUUUGGGAGUUUGAGGCUAGGGAUUUGAAGAGUUUGAUUUUGGGUUUUGAGUGGUCAUUCGAGGUCGGAUUUUGAUAAAUUUGGUAUGGUCGGACUCAUGAGUGAAUGGGCUUUCGGAUUUUGUGAUUUUUUCCCGAUUCUGAGACGUGGGCGCGGGUCGACUGUUUAGGACGGAUUUCAGAAUUUUUGUUAAAGUCUUGAUUUCAUUAAUUAGAUUAGUCUAUUAUAGUUGUAUUUAUGAUAUGUAAUUAUUUUUUGCUAGAUUUGGGCAUUCAGAGUUGUAUAUUCAUGGAAAAGGCAUUGUUACCGAUUGAUUGAUCUUGGUUCGAAGUAAGUUUCCUGCCUAACCUUGUGUGGGGGAAAUCCCCUUAGGAUUUGGUACUGUCGUGAUAUGUGAGCACCGUAUAUGUGAGGUGACGAGUACGUACAUAUGCUAUUUGUUGAAAAACUCGAUUUAUUUUACUGAGUAGCAACUUGUGUUUUUUCUUGAAUUUGAGUUAUGUCGUUUAAAUGAGUAUUAGUCUGUUUUCAUUCCUAAUUGAGCUAUUCCAACAUGUGUAGUUAUCCUCUUUAGUUUAAUAUAGCAUGUCCACGUGAUUAAUUACUUAUUUAAACUUUGUGAAGCAUGCCUAGUUGAUUUUCUGCGUUUCCUUGUUCUUUAUCAGUCUUAACUGUAGAAUUCUUACUUUUAACUAUGGUAUUUAUCGGUUGAGCUGUGUGUUUACUUUUAAGACUACGAGGCGGUUUCUCCUGCAUAUUUACUUUUGAGACUACGAGGCGGUUCUUCGGGAGUUCUCCCUAUACAUUUACUUUUGAGACUAUGAGGCGGUUCCUCGGGAGUUCUCCCUAUAUAUUUAGUUUUGAGACUACGAGGCGGUACCUCAAGAGUUUUCCUUGCACAUUUACUUUUGAGACUACGAGACGGUUCAUCGGGAGUUCUCCCUGUAUAUUUACUUUUGAGACUACGAGGCGGUACCUCGGGAGUUCUCCUUGCAUAUUGUUUUGGAACUGUGAGACGGUAUCUCGGGAGAUCCCCUGUUGUUUAUCUCUAUGUGUUGCAUUGUUAUAUCGCUGUGUUUUCUUUUGUUUUUGUUAAAUUCCAGUCUCUUAUUAUACAAUUAUAUUUUCCUGCUUUAUUUAUUAUAUACCAGCGGGCCUGAUCUGACCUCGACACUACUCUAUCGAGCUUAGGCUUGACACUUAUUGGGUACCGUUGUGGUGCACUCAUGCUACUCUUUUGCUCAUAUUUUUGUAUAUAGAUCCUGGCACUUCUUAUCAGCCCCGCUACUAGCUGAGAGUCCUUGUUAUUGUACAGAGACUUCAAGGUACAUGUGCCGCUUUCGCAGACCUCGGAGUCCCCCUGCUUUUCUCUCCUAUGUCAUUUACCUUCCGUACUUCUUUUGUUAGACCAUAGUGUUAGAGAUACUAGUUCCCUUCUGUAGCUUAUGACUUAUGAUGUUCCAGGUUUUGGGAAUAUGGUGCAUUUAUAGAGUAUUGGUUAUUGUACAUGCCGAGCAGUAUUUUUACUAGUUAUUUAGUUAUCCAUUGCUGUUAAUUGCCAAGUUUUAUUUUCGCUUUGCUAUUUUUCGUAAUUUGUUAGGCUUACCUAGUCGUAGAGACUGAGUGUCGUCACGACGUUAUACGGAGGGAGUUUGGGAUCGUGACAUCUUUAUUUUCUUAUUAUGGUACUAUACAAUACCCUAUUUUGGAAAAGUUAUUCUUAAUUUUUACGAUCUAUUUGUUAAGUAUAGUUAUUGCUUAAAUGAAUAUCUAUUUUCAAAUCUAAUCACCAUUGAUUUUUAGGUUUUCAAAUGUUCUGUCCUAAGACUGGAUGGAUCUACCAAUGUAUACCAAAGAGUAUACUAAUGGUGGUCAAUAUAUCUUGGUUUUUGCUAAUUCAAAUGAUGAAUGCUUGUCCAUGUUCAGCUAGAAAAUCAUUCAGUCAAUAGCUUGAUUAACAACUAAAGACACGCUAGAAACUCCAGUUCUUAUAUUCAUUUUUUGUUUUUGAUGCUUUCUUCUCUAUAUAUACAGAUUGUCCCUUUUGGUAUUGGUAGAAGGUACUAGAUUGGUUACAUUUUGAUUCUCUUUUGUUAAAAUCUAAAGCUGCGUAUGUAAGCAUUUUGAUCUUAUUUGGUUCCCUAUAUUUAAAGCAUUUGGUUACUAUUUCUCGUGCCUCAAGUAAAUAUAAGAACCAUAGUGAAUCAUAUUAGAAUAUAUGGAAAGAAGUCUAAGUCCUCUAUUUUUGAACUAUACAACCAGAGAAGUGAAAGGGAAGUUUACCUGGAGUAAUAAUAUCACCAUCAUAUUACCUGAAGUAUUUAAGCAAGAUUUUUAUUAAUAACAUGCUCUUUUUCUUUUAUUACUGCCAGGUGGUUCGCAUCCAACUAAAGAAGAUUGUGGACUAGCAAAAAUUAAGGAAGCACAUAGAUAUUGAGCAGGUAUCUCUGCAACUUGAUAGUCUAGCAGUUAUCUUUUGUAUUUUCAUACCUUUAAACUUUUAUUAUGAAUUGAAAAAGAAAACUUUUUUAGUCAUAGAUCUUGUUUGUGCUUCUAUGUCAUUAUAUUGUAGUAUCAUUGUUAAAUUCUGUUAUUACACCAUCAAAAACUUUUACAGUGAAAAUAUAUAGAGUUGUAAGAUUGAAUUUUGUCAAUACACCAGAAUUUUUGCAAUGUUUUUGUGUUUUUGCAAUACUUUGUAUUUCUGCACAUUUUAUUUUUGCAGUGUGUCCCAUUUCUUAGCGUUUCUAUAGUGUUUUGUGUUUUGCACAGCGUUUCUGUAUUUUUGCAUUUCUGCACAUAGCUUCUGCAUUUUCUGUAUUUCUUCUCGCUUCAGCAUUUCGUAUUUCUGCAUAGCGUUUCUACAAAUUCUGCAUCUUUGCACAGUGUUUCUGCAGUGUUUGUAUUUCUGUUCAUUUGUUGUAUCUAGCCCUUGGAAAAUACACAUAGUAUGUGGAUAUAUCAGUGUUAUAAUAUGUAUCAUGUACUAUAUAAUCUUCAAUUUUCAUCUUUUUAUGCAUAUCUUGCUCAAUGCUGGUACUUAUGAAUAAUUUUGGAAUAUCUUAAAUGUUGUUAUUUUUAUUUGGAAGUAGUGGGUUCAUAUUUCGUACCAACUCUUAUGUUAAACUUGAUAAUCUUGUAGGGGUAGUUGAUAGUGGAUAAUGCAUGGGCGAUGAGGCCAACAUCUUCCAUGCUCCUUUAGGUUAUCAGGACACACUACGCCUAUUUUAGGUCUAUUUUUGAUAGUGUAGGAGUAAAUUUGACUCUUUUUCCUUGUUUGUAUGAAGGGUUAGACAACAUUUGUUUAGAAUUAUAUAGAAAAGUGCUUAGAGAUAUAGUUUGAUAUUCUUGAAAACUUAAUAGCAAUGAGAAAACAUAUUUAGAUAACAUAGAGUAGUAUUAUUAUAAGCUAAUGUUGAGGGAAAAUGGUCAAGUUGAAUUUGGAGAAAUGAAGAGGUAAUGUAGCGACUUGGCCGGUCGUUUUGUAUAUUAUAACCCCGUUCCCCUAUUUACUGCUCAAUUUAUGCAUUACAGUUAUUUUAUGACUUAGCGAGUUAGUUGGUUCUGGUCCGAAAGGAUUUCAGAGUUAAAUGAGACACUUAGUCUCUUAAUUGAAAACUUAAGUUGGCAAAGUUGAUCAAAUAUUGACUUAUAUGUAAACAACCUCAGAAUUUAUUUCUGCUGAUUCCAAUAGCUCCGUAUGAUGAUUUUGGACUUAGAAGUGUGCCCGAAAAAUUAUUUGGAGGCCCGUAGUGGAAUUAGGCUUGAAAUGACGAAAGUCAAAUUUUUGGGAAGUUUGACCGGGGGGUUGAGUUUUUGAUAUCGGGGUCGAAAUUCGAUUUUUUGAAAAUUUUAAUAGGUCUGUUAUGUCAUUUAUGACUUGUGUGCAAAAUGUGAGGUCAAUCGGACUUGAUUUGAUAGGUUCCGGCGUCGUUUGUGAAAACUUGAAAUUUCAAAGUUCAUUAGGCUUGAAUUGGGGCAUGAUUAGCGGUUUUAGCGUUGUUUGAGGUAAUUUGAGGGUUUGACUAAGUUCGUAUGACGUUAUGGGACUUGACGGUAUGUUUGGUUGAGGUCCCGGGGGCCUCGGGUAAGUUUCAGAUGGUUAACGGAUCAAUUUUGGACUUGGCAUUCUAGCUAAAGAAUGCUAGUUUUCUGUCACUGGUUUCCUUCUAUGCGAUCGCAUGAGAAUGUCCGCGAUCACGUAGCUGUGCGAGUUUGGUAUUCGUGAACACGUGAAGAAGGUCACGUUCGCGUAGAGUAAGUGGAGCAGAAGUAGAGGUCACGCGUUUUGUGCUUCGUGAUCACGUGGACGAGUCUGCGAUCACGUAGGCCUGUGAGGGUGAGCUUCGUGAUCGCGUGGAAAAGUCCGUGAUUGCGUAGGGCUUAAUCUGACAUUGGAAAUUUGUGGUUCGCGAUCCCAUGUGGUUGUCCGCGAUCGUGUAGAGCAAAUGACUGGGCAGGGAGUUUAAGUUCUAAAAAUGGGACUUCGUCCCAUUUUCCAUUUUUACCGAUUUGGAGCUCGGAGAGAGAGAAUGUUCCGGAGAUUUUCAAGAAAAACAAUGGGGUAAGUGUUCCUAACUCAAUAUUGGUUAAGUUACUCGAAUCCAUGGUUAUUUUUGACAUUUAAUUAGUGAAUUAAGUUAGAAGAUUUUGAAAACCCUCUUCGUUUAAAUUGAAGAUUUGAGGGUCGAGUUGAGGUCGGAUUUUUGUAAAAUUGGUAUGGGUAGACUCGUGGUUGAAUGGGCUAUCGGAUUUUGUAACUUCUAUCGUGUUCCGAUAUGUGGGCCCCACGCGAGAUUUUUGAGCUAAAUUUUGGAUUUUGUUGGAAAAUUAGUAUUUUCUUAUGGAAUUAAUUCCAAUAAAUGUUAUUGACUGAAUCAAAUUAUUUGUGGCUAGAUUCGAGGCGUUUGGAGGCCAAUUCACGAGGAAAAGACAUUGCAGAAUAAAGAAUUAUAUGACUUGAGGUAAGUAAUAGUUCUAAAUUUUAUCUUGAGGGUAUGAAACCCCGUAAUAUGUAUUAUAUGAUUGGUUUUGAGGUGACGCACAUGCUAGGUGACAGGCGUGUGAGCGUGCACCAUAGAAAUUAUGACUUGGUCAAUUUCAUGGAACUGUGUAGUUGAAAAAUCUGUUGAUAUCCAUACAUUUUCUCCGUAAUAGAGAAAUUGAUCUAUGAAUCAAGUUUAAAUAAUACCUUUAUACUGUUGGGACCCACAAAGGUCGUGUACUUGUGAAAUUGUUUGCUAAAUUGCUAUAUUUGCACAUUUUUAUCUCAGUCUCUCUUAUUCAUUAUUGAUGCAUCAUAUCAUUGUUGUUGGGUUGCUUAUCAUGAUUUUUGAGACCCCGAGAGACUGGAGAGGUUGAUGACCUCGUGAGGCCGAGGGCCUAAUUGUGCGGAUAUUUAUGGAUCGGGUUGUACGCCGCAACAUGUUUCAUUGAUUUGUGCCAUGAUUGGUUUGAUAUAGCGCUUGGGAUGAAGGAGCCCCUCCGUAGUCUGUACACCCCCUAGUGAAAUCAGGUACCUAUUGAGUACGAGUGUCGAGUGCGAGUGCCGAGUGAAGAGUGACUGUGAGGAAAGAGUGACUCUGAGGUUGGAGUGAAUGGGAGGAUUGAGCGACUGUUACUCUGAGAGGAUGCAUUAAUUUCAUUAUUUGAUGCAUUUUAGAUAUCAUAUAUCACAAUUUUUUGAAAUUUCGGAAAAAUAUUAUUUCUAUUUCGGUCAAACAAGAUAUGAAAUUUUCGUAAAAUCUUAAAUGUUGAAUUUGAGAACAUGCCUACUCUUUUAAAUUGGAAAGUACUGUAUUUGGACUUAGCUGAGAAAUUCGUCACUACUUUUAGUUUUUUAUUUAUUAUUGUUACUUACUGAGUUGGUUGUACUCAUACUACAGCGUGCACUUCGUGUGCAGAUCCAGGGAUCCUGGAUACAGUGGGUGUUCAUUCUUUCACACAGCCGCUUUUUCGGAGAUUCAGAGGUAGCUGCCAUGUUUCGUAGACCUUGUCUCUCCUUCUUUAUCUUUUUGUUUAUUGUAUUUGGUCUCAGAUUAUUAUAGACCACGUUUUCCAGACUUGUAAUAUAUAGAAGCUCAUGUAUUCAGUAACACUAGGAUUUGGGAGUGUGUGUAACGGUAUUUAUGGG
rnacentral:lncRNA from 1 species